rnacentral:rRNA from 1 species
GAUGAACGCUGGCGGCGUGCCUAAUACAUGCAAGUCGAGCGAACAGACGAGGAGCUUGUUCCUCUGACGUUAGCGGCGGACGGGUGAGUAACACGUGGAUAACCUACCUAUAAGACUGGGAUAACUUCGGGAAACCGGAGCUAAUACCGGAUAAUAUAUUGAACCGCAUGGUUCAAUAGUGAAAGACGGUUUUGCUGUCACUUAUAGAUGGAUCCGCGCCGCAUUAGCUAGUUGGUAAGGUAACGGCUUACCAAGGCAACGAUGCGUAGCCGACCUGAGAGGGUGAUCGGCCACACUGGAACUGAGACACGGUCCAGACUCCUACGGGAGGCAGCAGUAGGGAAUCUUCCGCAAUGGGCGAAAGCCUGACGGAGCAACGCCGCGUGAGUGAUGAAGGUCUUCGGAUCGUAAAACUCUGUUAUUAGGGAAGAACGAAUGUGUAAGUAACUAUGCACGUCUUGACGGUACCUAAUCAGAAAGCCACGGCUAACUACGUG